UUAGUUUGAUUCUGGCUCAGGAUGAACGCUGGCGGCGUGCCUAAUACAUGCAAGUCGAGCGAACUGAUUAGAAGCUUGCUUCUAUGACGUUAGCGGCGGACGGGUGAGUAACACGUGGGCAACCUGCCUGUAAGACUGGGAUAACUUCGGGAAACCGAAGCUAAUACCGGAUAGGAUCUUCUCCUUCAUGGGAGAUGAUUGAAAGAUGGUUUCGGCUAUCACUUACAGAUGGGCCCGCGGUGCAUUAGCUAGUUGGUGAGGUAACGGCUCACCAAGGCAACGAUGCAUAGCCGACCUGAGAGGGUGAUCGGCCACACUGGGACUGAGACACGGCCCAGACUCCUACGGGAGGCAGCAGUAGGGAAUCUUCCGCAAUGGACGAAAGUCUGACGGAGCAACGCCGCGUGAGUGAUGAAGGCUUUCGGGUCGUAAAACUCUGUUGUUAGGGAAGAACAAGUACGAGAGUAACUGCUCGUACCUUGACGGUACCUAACCAGAAAGCCACGGCUAACUACGUGCCAGCAGCCGCGGUAAUACGUAGGUGGCAAGCGUUAUCCGGAAUUAUUGGGCGUAAAGCGCGCGCAGGCGGUUUCUUAAGUCUGAUGUGAAAGCCCACGGCUCAACCGUGGAGGGUCAUUGGAAACUGGGGAACUUGAGUGCAGAAGAGAAAAGCGGAAUUCCACGUGUAGCGGUGAAAUGCGUAGAGAUGUGGAGGAACACCAGUGGCGAAGGCGGCUUUUUGGUCUGUAACUGACGCUGAGGCGCGAAAGCGGGGGGAGCAAACAGGAUUAGAUACCUGGGUAGUCCAAA
rnacentral:rRNA from 1 species